UNGCAGGUGAUGGAACACUUCUGAGUCAGG
rnacentral:piRNA from 1 species